CUUUCACGUUGUGGGGCCAGUGUUCUUUUGCUAUUUGCAGUAAACCUUGCCGCUGGUCACUUUGGGUCCACACUGCGUUUAUGAGGUGUAACACUCACUGUGAAGGUCUGCAGCUUCACUCCUGAAGCCAGGGAGAGCACGAACCCACCAUGGGGGAACAAACAACUCCAGACGUGCUGCCUUAAGAGCUGUAACACUCGCCGUAAAGGUUUGCAGGUUCACUCCUGAGCCAGCGAGACCAUGAACCCCCCAGAAGGAAGAAACUCGGAGCACAUCCGAACAUCAGAAGGAGCAAACGCCAGACACGCUGCGUUUAAGAACAGCAACACUCACCACGAGAGUCUGCGGCUUCAUUCUUGAAAACUUGGCAGAAUCUAGUGCUGGUCCUGGAGCUAAGUCUUGAGAAGACCUGGAGGCUUCCACUUCUGCGCUUUUGGAAAUUCUGAGCUUCCGUGUUAGAAGAGUUGCUACCCUUCUGGAGAUACUACAUGGAAAGACCUCAUGAAGAGGCCAUAUGGAAAGGGAGAAGCCUUGUCCAACCAUCUCCACCAAGGUCCCAGGCAUAUGAGAGAGCCAACUUGGACAGUCUGGUCCUGUUGAGCCCCCAGAUGCCCACAGUCUCAGUUGACAACAUGUGGAGCAGAAGAACUGCCCAGAUGAGCCCAGCCAACCCAGUGAAUCAUGAGAAUAAGGAAAUGGUUUUUGC
rnacentral:lncRNA from 10 species